rnacentral:rRNA from 1 species
CCUACGGGAGGCUGCAGUGGGGAAUAUUGGACAAUGGGGGCAACCCUGAUCCAGCCAUGCCGCGUGUGUGAAGAAGGCCCUCGGGUUGUAAAGCACUUUCAGUGAGGAAGAACGCCUGGUGGUUAAUACCCAUCAGGAAAGACAUCACUCACAGAAGAAGCACCGGCUAACUCCGUGCCAGCAGCCGCGGUAAUACGGGGGGUGCGAGCGUUAAUCGGAAUUACUGGGCGUAAAGCGCGCGUAGGUGGCUUGAUAAGCCGGUUGUGAAAGCCCCGGGCUCAACCUGGGAACGGCAUCCGGAACUGUCAAGCUAGAGUGCAGGAGAGGAAGGUAGAAUUCCCGGUGUAGCGGUGAAAUGCGUAGAGAUCGGGAGGAAUACCAGUGGCGAAGGCGGCCUUCUGGACUGACACUGACACUGAGGUGCGAAAGCGUGGGUAGCAAACAGGAUUAGAUACCCUAGUAGUC